CGUUCCGGGGCCCUUAAGGCCUCGGGCCUCAGGUGCUGGCUUCACAGCAAAGAGGUCAGAGAGGAGCUGCUCCUCCCCCGACUCAAUGUAGGCAGAGAGGUCAAUGGAGGCCUCAUGCUCACACAUGUCCCCCAGGUCCCCGGGCCCUCCUCGGGCCCCUGAAAACUCGAGUGGCUGCUGGCCGCCCCGGGGCGCACACUCAUAGUAGGACCCGUGGGACAUGGCCGGCCCGCCCCCUUGGCUCCCCGCCCCCGCCGCCCGGCACUUGGGGCACUCCUUGAGAUGCUUGGCCUGCCCUUUCUCGAACUCUCCCUGCCCCAGAUCUGCCCUAGAUCUGCCUCUCCGCUCUCCUCUGUCACCCACUCCUGCGUGGCUUCUCCUCUCCCUCCUCUGCUCUGCUUCCUUUUCCUUCCUCUGUGGUCAAUGCCGCUCCUCUCUUCCUUUUUUUCCCUCUCUCCCUGGGGUGACUCGGGGAGGGGCAGGGCGUACCCCAGAGGGAGGGAUGCAGGCCUCAGAGAAAUGGGUGCCUGGCCUAUUGAGCAGCUGGUGGGCACUCUUUGGUCAGAGUCCAAGCCAGGGUUCUGGAGAUGCCCAGGAGAUGUCUCCUUCUCUCCCUCCUGAGCCCAGGGGAUUCCGGGGUCCUCACGGAGGGCGACACCUCGCUCUGAGUGUUCUCGUCCCUCUGACAUCCAAAAAGUUCUGUGCAGAAUGAGGUACCAAGUCAGAGUGAACCAAGAAAACCCUCUUCCAGUCCCGACCCCCAGCCUGGCCUGAGCUCCUCCCUUGAAACGCCUCCCUCUGGCCCCCUCAGUGCUGGGCUCCACCUACCCCCCAGGGCAGUCAGUUCCUUUUGUAGCCCCACCUCCCAGGGCAUCUUGCUGGGUGAAGGCCAUGGGGUGUUGUUUGAGGGGCUCCGGAAGUAGGGAUAGGUUCGAGGAACAAGCCUUACCCAGGGGCCUGUGCUGUGGCCUAGGGCAUGCUUAUUUGCUACGUAUUUGCACAGGGUCUGCGCAAUAGCCCAAACACCAACAUGUUCUUAGCCUGGCAUAGUGCCCUACUGCCUGCGCUUGGCUGAGGUGUCUGCUCAGGACUUGGGCCCUGCACCCCAGGCCCAGGUAGGCUGUUGCCUGGAACUGACAGCCGAACUCCUCUGGCGGCUCCAGCACCUCUCUCUUCCAGCUCCCCUGUGCUGCCAGAGGCUCGGGCCUGCAUUUGGGUCUGAGGCUCUGCCUCCCAUUUCCUGUGCCCAGGGCUGCAGGGCUCCAGGGCUGCAAGGCUGAGGAGCUCCCAGCAGCUCAGUUUGCUGUCUUUCCUUCUGCCUGGCCGUUGUCUGACCUCCCAUGCGUCUCUCUUGGGCCCACUUCCUCUUAUGAAGCUUGAGAAGCCUUCUCUUUUGUCAUCACCUCUUCCUGGGGCUCUGUCUCAGAGUCUCCAGGAGAAGGCCCUGGCUCAGUUCUCUGCACUUCUUGGUCUUAUGAUGGGCCUCCCUUCCUUUCCCUUUUCUUUUUUCUCUGAAACUCCCAACUCCUUCCUCUCAGAAGCCCUGCUUUCAUCUGUUGAACUUCAUCUCCAAAUGGCGCUUUGGAUCCAGUGAAAAGAAAAGGACAAAUAGAAAUCGCCACUGCCUCUUUUGCCACCAGAAAAUGCUGUGGGUGCCCUCUGGGUGGGCCGGGGGUGUUCAAAAGCACACCAAGGGCUAGGUCACAGUGAAUGGGCCACAGUGGGGCAAACGCUGAGUGGACGUAUGGCUUUGAACACUGAAAUAAAAUAUACAAAUAUAGACAGGGCUGUCUACCAAUCAGACAAGCUACCCCCUAGUUAGCAUCCCCUCUUCCUUCCUCCCGACUCCUCACACCUACCCCAGCAGCUUUUUUGCAUGGCUUGAGAUAUGGCCAGAUACGUUUUCUCCAAAAGCCUUGACCUGGCAUUGGUAGAUGUGCCUGCCUCCGGACACAGAACCCGGGAAUCACAUGAGGAGAUUUCUGCUCUUUCCCCUUUUCACAAGAUCACGUGCCAAAUACGGACCUAAGCUGAGCUACAUUCGUUUCCCUGCAGUGCUUCCGUUGACCACUGGGCGGCAACAUUGGUCCAAAAUUCUGGACUUCCAGUGGAUGCUGUGCUGGGGAAUCACGUGGUCGGCAGAGGGCAGCCUCCCAUAGCCCUGGCAUACGGCCGACCUGCUGGGCAUCAGGAAGGAGGAAGAGGAAAUAUGGUCAGGGUGGGGGCUUGCAGAGCAGUUGUUGGGGAAGUGGGCAGGCUGGGAGGACGGGAGCCAAGGUCUUGUCUAAAUGAGGAAAGGGUCUAUCCCCUGCCCCUCACUUUGAAGUAGUGGUAAUGGCACCAAAAACCCAUUGUCAUCGAGUUGAUUCUGACUGUACAACCCUAUAGGCAGAGUAGAACUGCCCCAUAGGAUUUCCAAGGAGCUCCUGGUGGAUUCGAACUGCUGACCUUUUGCUUAGCGGCUGAGCUCUUAACCACUGUGCCACGAGGGCUCCAGUGAUAAUGGUUAGGCCUUGCAUUUUCUGCUCAAGAUACAAGAGACAGCAAGAGGGGACACCAAGAAGGGGCCAGAUUCCUGGAUGAGUGGAGGCAGGAACUGGGGACUUCUGGGCCCACCUGUGCCUCUGGCUUCCCACAGUGUUUUGCGGGGUAGCUGUAGCUGAAAGGUGGGUUCUUUCUUUGGACAAAUGCUCUCUUUUUGCUCUUCCCCAUGUCCCUUGCUUCAUGUGCUCUACCUGAGUCUCAUAUAGGCCAUGCAAAGGCUGCCCAUAGCCACCUGUCUGGUGAGCAGGGAGGAGCCCUGCAUCCUCCAGGGCACACAGAGAUGAUCCAAUCCACUUUCAGUCCAGUUCCAUAACUUUCCCAACCCUGGGAGACCAGACCCAGAGGCCCCAGGCACAGAUCUCCCUCCUGGUCCCUCUCAGAAUGGGGUUCCUUUCUAGCCAGCAGCAGCCUGCUUCCAGCAGAGUGGAAAAGGGGUCUCUAGGACUGCAGCCAAGGCGCUGUCCUGCCCCCAGCCACAGCCCCCUGACCCAGGACUGCACUAGGCUGGGGCUUUCGAGUCCUCUGCUCUGUUUGCAAUGUGAGGCGCUGAGGGCCUGCAUAUCACGCACAUCCUAAGUAACCACACGAGCAGCACACAGCCCUCUGCAUCCACACUGACGUUGCACACCCCUGCGUGAGCACACACCCCUCUGCAAGGUCACCAUCCAAGUGCCUGCACAGACCCCUGCUGACAGAGACAGCCCCCCCACAUAUAGACAGAGCAAAGUGCACAGCAGAGUGGCCCCCUGGUUGGGGAGGGGCCCAGGCAGGACUCACCGGGAGGAGGUGAAGAGAGACCCAUUGACGCCUCCAAAUGUGGACAGGGCAACAGAAAUGGGCAUGAUCCAGGCCAUGACACCCAGGAGCUUCUCUCCAAAAGUCUGGGAUAGAAAGCAAGGGGAGAAAGGGAGAGGAGAGGUUACAACUCAGGCAGGGUGCACACCCCAGAAACAAUGACUGGCAUACCAGCUGUUCUCCCCUCACCCCUCAGCAUGGACUUCACUGCUGGGAAUACUUCUCUCCCAUCUCCACCCUUGCUGAUUCUCUCUGGCUAAGUUCCUCAAGAAGAGGGACAUCUACCGUACCUUGCUCCCUUGGGUACCACUGCUUUCAACUGUGAUAACUACACUGUGGGGGUUCAAUAAAGUUUUGGGAGAAUUAAUUGCAAGAGACAGUUUAUGGCGGUAAUGAUAAACACUUAUUACCUGUCUGUGGAUGAGGAAACUGAGGCACUAAGUGAUUAAGUGGCAUGGGUAAAAUCACACAUCCGGCAAGUGGAGGGGCCAGGACUGGAACCCAGGUGAUGUGAGUCCAGGCCUCAUGUACGUCAUACGAUUCCUCCAGCACAGUGAGGGCACAGGCUUGUUGUGAGGCAGGCAGAUCUGGGUUCAAUUCCUAGCCCUCCAUUUACGAGUGUGAGACCUUGAGCAAGGGUCAUGCUUUUUGAGUCUCAAUUUUCCCAUUUGUAAAAUAGGGGUGAAUUCUAAUUCAUAGGGUGGUUGUGAGGGUUCUAAGAGAUGAUUUUGGGGGAAAGGUAUAAGAACAAGCCACUAUUUAGGCUGAGAAAGAAAAGGUUGUAAAGGUAUAGACUAGUGUUCUCAUAUUGAAGGAAUAUAAAAUGUAGGGUGACUAGCCUUUUUUAUCUAUUCAGAGCCAGGUAUACACUUGGUUUAUAUAUAGCACAUUAUGGGGAAAGGAAACAGUAAUGUGGAUGGGGGAAGGGGUUGUUUACAAGAACUGUCCUGCUGGGGUAGGCUGCUGGUCAUGGGAACAGGCUGCAUGGGAAACUGGAGAACCUCUUGCUUUAGAGUUUUCAGAAACAACACCAGUGACAACACAGUUUGGCAGGAUGGGGUCAAGCCCAGCCUAAAGCCAGGUGAGGUUACAACAUGGCUCCCAGUCUUUCCCAGAUAUUAAGGAUCUCAACCCCUUGGACUUGCAUGAUCUUUUUCCCCCGAAUGCACAAUAAACAUAAUUUAAAAUUUUUCCCUUCACCUACUUUCCCAUGAUGAGGGAAGGAGUCAAACUGCACACUUCCUGGAGGAGGAAACAAAGGCAAAGAGGAAAGGCAUGUCUUCUGAAAGACAGUUUUUGAGGAGGAGCCUGUCUCCUUUAUACCAUCAUUAGAUUUUAAGGGACUGGCAAACUUUUUCUGGAGGCCCUGGGUGGUGUAAAGGUUAACACACAUGAAUACUAACCAAAAGGUCAGAGGUUUGAGUUCCCCCAGAGGUUCCCCAGAAGAAAGACCUAGUGAUCUACUUCUGAAAAACCAGCCAUUGAAAACCCUAUGGAGCGUGAUCCUACUCUGACAUACAUGGGGUUGCCAUGAGUCAGAAUCAACUUGAUGGCAACUGGUUUAAACUUUUUCUGUAAAGGGUCCAAUAGUAAACAUUUUCGGCUUCGUGGGCCAUACAGUUUCUGUCCCAACUACUCAAUUCUGCUGUUGUAGAUGUUCUAGGUACAACCUAGCUGUCACAUUGCUCUUGGGCACUUAAAGAUGCCCCAGUGAGAACAGUAUGUGGUUUCUACCCUGGAAAUUAGAAUGACUUCCAAUGUCACAAGGCCAUGUAGCAAGGAAGAGUGAGUGAGCAAGCAAGUCUGGAUCAACAUUCACGGUCUGAGAGACUGGGAUUUUGAUUUCUUACCACGGCAACUGCAUUUGAUGCCAGCAGCUCCUGGGGUGACAUUGCAGUAACAUAAGCAAUAUUGGCAAAGACAUACACAAAUGUGACCAGUGGGAUGGAGAUGUAGAUGGCUCUGGGAAGGUUCCUGUAGAGGAAGAGGAGAUGAGAGGGGGGAAGGCUUGGCACCCAGAGACCACCUGCCUCACUGUGGGGGUCUUGGGAGUGCCUCCUGCCUUUCCUGAGGCUUUGGUGGUACUCCCUCUCCCUGUGAAGUGUAUUUUGUCUCAAAACAGGCAGGAUAAUCUGAAGGAAUGAAACCAUUUAGGCUGGAAAUAUGCCUCACACCUGCUGAUCUCUUCUUUGACCUGAAUCUCCACAAUCUACCCCUGCCCCCUGCCUCAAGGCACAAAGAUCUGCCUGUCUGGAGACAAGUGACCAAGAUGCCUGGAAGCCUCUUGGGGCAAAGAAAAGAAGUCAUUCAAGGUCAGAGGACAUCUCAGGGUGUGCACACAUCCAGGGACAAUAUGAGGAGGGCCAGGGCCAGGAGCUUCCCAGCGGUGAAGAUGUCUUGAACUCGGGUGGCCCAUCGUACACUGGAACAGUUGACCCAUGUGAGGAGCACUGAAAUGACAGAUCCCCACACAUCCCCUUCAGGGGUCAUAAUGAGGCUGCAUGACGCUCACGGCACAGAAGCAGAAAUGCUCCUCGCUCCUGAUGAUGGGAUUAUAACAGUACCUCUAGAGGACACACAAGUGGAGCCAAAAAGUACUUAUUAAGAAAGACGGCUUAAUUUUCUCCUGCUGCUGCUUCAAAUGAGAACAAGUUUUUUUUGUUUUACUUUGUUUCAUUUUGGGAAGGGGUUGGAUUUCACUGCUAUAUCCCCUGUGCCAAGAACAGUACCUCGCACAUUAUGGGUACUUGAUAAAUGUUGAAUGAAUAAAAUUUUGUCAUUCUCAUUUAUAUGAUACUUCCUAAGAGUCUGUUAUGGACUGAAUGGUGUUCCCUAAAAAGAAAUGUGGAAGUCAUAAUUCCUAUACCUGUAAAUAUGACCCUAUUUGGAAAUAAGAGUUUUGUUUUGCUAACAAGGUCAUACCAGAGUAGAGUGGGUCCUAAACCUAAUGACUUCUGACUGAUGUUUUAAAAAAAGAACAGCAUAAACACACACACAAGAUAGACGCCAUGUGAGGAUGAGUAUACAAGCAAAAGAAUGCUAAGGACUGUGAGCAGAAACCAGAAACUAGGAGAGAGGUCCACAGAAGGAAUCUACAUGGCCAAGACCUGAUUUGGACUAUUAGUCUCUAGACGUAUGAGAAAGUAAAUUUCUGUUUUUUAAAGCCACUCGCUUGUGGUUUUUUUGUUUGUUUGUUUGUUUGCUAUAGCAGCACUAGGAAACUAAGGCAGAGCCCCAAUCUCUUUCUGAGUUAUACUCCUCUACAGGGGGCUUUCAAGCAGGAUCCUAGAGUAACCACCCUGAGGAAUACUUCUAACCAGAGACUACUCAGUGCUCCUCAGAGCCGUGGGGAGAACGUGGAAGGAAGAAAUAGAGAAAACACAUUCUAACCACUCAUCGCAAACACUGGACACAGUUAAAUUAAAACACAUUUAAUUUUGAUUUGUAGACAGCUAGAAUUCCUCCCCCUUAAAAGUCAAUCGAUAGUUCAUUGUGUAGUGCCUGAGGUCUUAAAAGCUAAUGAGUGGCCAUCCAAGGCACAACAAUUGGUUUACUCACCUGGAGCAACAGAGGAAGAAGGAGAGUCAGGAAAAGAAGAAUACGGAAUGUGUGUCUAAUUGCCUCCAUGAACAACUGCUCCCUUUGCCGUGAAACCAGAAGUCGAUGGUGCCCAACUAUCAUUACUGAAUAUUUUAAUCAAAGAUUCCACAGAAGAAAUCUGACCAAAAAGGGGAAAAUGCAGAAUAGAAUUUCAAGUUCUCACAUACUAUAGAAUUUCUGGAGCCACGGAGGGUGAAUGAACCCCUGAAACUACUGCCCUGAGAUAAUCUUUAAACCUUAAACCAAAAAUAUUCCCUGAAGUCACCUAGAAACUGAACACUAGUUUAGCUUAAUUAGUAAAAAAGGCCUGCCUUGAGCAUUACGCUGUUUUAAGAACUAUCUAUGUGGGAUCAAAUUGACAACUGCAAUUCAAAAGAUUAGACAGGAACCUUAGGGAGCAGUGAAUUUAUGUUAAUCGAGGAAGAAAAACUCAGAAAAGGAGGGUGAAAAUGACCGCACAACUCGAAGAAUGUAAUAAAUAUCACUAAAUUGUACAUGUACAAACUGUUGAACUGGAGUAUUUUUUGCCGAGUAUAUUACCAACAACAACAAAAUAAAUAAAAUUUAAGAAAAAAAAAAGUCAGUCGACCAAUAUGUUACUCCUAAAUCUUUGUUUCUUGUUUUUGUCAUUUCUCCAUCCUUACCAGCCUGGAUAAGUGCUUAGCCUACUAUCUGGUCUCCCUGCUUCAAAUUUUAUGGUCUUUUCUUUACUCAGAUAUGACCCUAAUCAUCUCACUCCUCUGCUCAAAAUCCUUCAGUGGCUCCCCAUUCCUUGGGUAAAAUCUGUUUUUCUCUGUAUGACAUAUGGAAUCCUUCAAGAUCCGGCUCUUGCUCACUUGUUCAGCCUCAUUUCCUGUCACUUCCCUAGGCUUUACCCACACAAAAGUACUUGCUUUUCUCCAACAGGCCACUUCUUUCUUGACGCCAGCUCUUGCCUGUGCCUUCCAAGACUCUCUGUAAUAACACCUUAUCUCCACUCAGUGUAGGAGGUCAUAUGGUGAUUAACUGAUGGAUUUCCGGUUUCUUUUUUUCCCUAGAAAAUCUAUUUACAGAAUAAUUUUAGUUUUAAUAUAUCAUAAAAAUGAAAAAUGAGAUUUUAUUUGCAUUCACCAUU